rnacentral:rRNA from 1 species
UACGAAGGGGGCUAGCGUUGCUCGGAAUGACUGGGCGUAAAGGGCGCGUAGGCGGUUCGUACAGUCAGACGUGAAAUUCCUGGGCUCAACCUGGGGACUGCGCUUGAGACGUGUGGGCUUGAGUGGGGAAGAGGGUCGUGGAAUUCCCAGUGUAGAGGUGAAAUUCGUAGAUAUUGGGAAGAACACCGGUGGCGAAGGCGGCGACCUGGUCCUUGACUGACGCUGAGGCGCGAAAGCGUGGGGAGCAAACAGG